rnacentral:rRNA from 1 species
GGAGACAGCCUAUACUGCAGUCGAGCGAGCUUGCCUAGAUGAUUUUAGUGCUUGCACUAAAUGAAACUAGAUACAAGCGAGCGGCGGACGGGUGAGUAACACGUGGGUAACCUGCCCAAGAGACUGGGAUAACACCUGGAAACAGAUGCUAAUACCGGAUAACAACACUAGACGCAUGUCUAGAGUUUGAAAGAUGGUUCUGCUAUCACUCUUGGAUGGACCUGCGGUGCAUUAGCUAGUUGGUAAGGUAACGGCUUACCAAGGCAAUGAUGCAUAGCUGAGUUGAGAGACUGAUCGGCCACAUUGGGACUGAGACACGGCCCAAACUCCUACGGGAGGCAGCAGUAGGGAAUCUUCCACAAUGGACGAAAGUCUGAUGGAGCAACGCCGCGUGAGUGAAGAAGGGUUUCGGCUCGUAAAGCUCUGUUGGUAGUGAAGAAAGAUAGAGGUAGUAACAGGCCUUUAUUUGACGGUAAUUACUUAGAAAGUCACGGCUAACUACGUGCCAGCAGCCGCGGUAAUACGUAGGUGGCAAGCGUUGACCGGAUUUAUUGGGCGUAAAGCGAGUGCAGGCGGUUCAAUAAGUCUGAUGUGAAAGCCUUCGGCUCAACCGGAGAAUUGCAUCAGAAACUGUUGAACUUGAGUGCAGAAGAGGAGAGUGGAACUCCAUGUGUAGCGGUGGAAUGCGUAGAUAUAUGGAAGAACACCAGUGGCGAAGGCGGCUCUCUGGUCUGCAACUGACGCUGAGGC